UUACAGCAACAGCAGCAGCAGCAAUUGAUUGGAACCCAGUUGGGUAACUCAAGCAUGCAAACUAAUGAGCACAUGCUACCCCAGCCUAAGGUUUCACUCCAACAAACGCAGCAGAGUGCACCUAAUUUGUUACCAACUCAACGACAGACAUCCCAGCAGCCAGCAGCCAGCAGCAGCAGCAACAGCAACUGAUGUCACAGAUGCAAUUACAGUCUACUCAGCUGCAGCAACAAUUGGGUUUGCAAACAGCAGCCCAAUCAAUUACACCAAAAUAUGCAGCCAAGGCUUCACGCAUCAGGUCAACUAUCAUGUUCCUUGCUUCAAUCACAAAAUUUGAUAGAUCAGCAAAAGCAUUUGUAUCAAUCGCGCAGAGCUGUUCCAGAGACAUCAUCAAGUAUGUUUUUGAAUGUUUGCAGUUGCUUACUUUGUUCUUUCCUUGUUUCUUUCUGAUCUUGUGUUAUUUAACUAAUCUAUGCAAUUUUUUCCUCUGAUACUAGCACAUUUUAUCCUUGAAGCCUGAAAAAAAUCUAUUUUCUCAUAUAGCUACUAUAGUUGAUGCUAUUGUUUUUCAUUGCAUUUCUAUUACAGAAAAUAAUUUCCAUUCCAACUUGGGGGGAUUAAGAGAAUAUCUUUUUGAACUUGCACUACGUUGUCCUAUCAAAGCACAUUUUGCCUAGAUGAUUAGUUCUUAGCUAACAAAGACAAAUGCUACCAAAAUUAAUGGCACCCUUGCCUUCAUAAGCUGAUCAUGGGCACUGCCUGGCUUUUUAUGCCACCAGAAACAUUGUUGUUACUGUGGAAAACUCAGAAAUAAAACUGUGGAAAUCUAAGAGUAAAAACUGAAUGUUUAUUGAAAAAUUACACAUUAAGAAUUAUACAAGAACCUUAGUUUAUAUACAAUUAACUAGGGGUUCAACUGGGAAACUAAAUCUUCCUAAAAACUGAUCCUAUGAUUGAGGGAUUGUCUAUCAUUAUCCUUAAUUCUAGGGAUACAAAUACUUAAUUCUAGAGAUACAAAAAUUAAUAUACAGAUUACAAGAUUCCGUGUCACUGCUAAGUUUCCACUGCUGUCACUGUGCUAUUAUGUUACUUUUAACACUCACUCUAGUUAUUAUGCAAUGAUUUUGUCAAACCACAAAGCAAUGGCUGGAUUUAAUCUAUUCAUUUUAUCAACAAAUAAUUCAUGCUGUUUUAUUCAACGAGUUUUCAUGUUUGGCUAUAAAACAUUCUUCUGGAAAUAAGUAAACUGUGUUUUGUGUGCAAAGAGAAGUGACCAUUUUGUUGGUUAAGCUCAAAGAGCAGAAACAAAAUGCAUAAACUCACUCAUACCCCUCAUAUUCAUUUGAAUUUUAGAAUAGUCAGAUAUUUCUAGCAGCUUGUUUGAUUAUGUCGGGUUGGUGUGAUUCCUUUGUCCGACUUAAAUAUUGUUGUUCUUUCUUGUAAUCUAGCUUUCAAAAAUGUUCCCACCACUUAAUUUAACAAAAAAUUAUGAUUAGGAGAUUGCAGUCCUGAUUGAGAACAGCUAGUUACUGUUUUUGCAUCAAAAUAGAGGGUAAACAUGCUUGCAAAUGUCAGAGGAGUUUUGUUUGAAUGAAGAAUGCAUAACGAAUGACUAGAUAAGCAAGAGGGUGACAGCGAGCUGGUUCAUGCAUGCAUGAAAUGGUUAAAAGGGUGUCAAAACUCAAAAUUGUCUUAGUAGUGUUUUGAUUUAGUCUAACGGCUUUUAUUGAAACAUUAAAUUUGUGCUGUAGAAAUAAUUAAGUUCUAUAUGAACCCUAUAUUCCUUGAGUCUAAUUUGUUCCCUAAAUUUUUUUAGUACUUGAGUUUGACUCGCCCUUAUUUGCUUGACAUAUUUAUUUUUAAUGAAUAACAAGUCUGUAGCAGAAAAUAGUUUAACUUUUUUUAGGUUUUCCUUCUCAUGAACACUUAAACUUAUCUAUCAUUUACUCCUGUUCCAACUGAACUUCUUUUUUGUAGAUGGCAAAUGUAUAGUUAGCUUUUAACUUGAGAAACUCUAUAAGUAGCCUUGAAAAAUAAGAAAGAUGUUUGAACUUGGAAUUUGUCUCUCUGUGUCACUAUGGAAAGUCAAAAUUAAAAAAUUUUCUACUUUUGUAAGCGUACAUCUUAGAAUAUCCCAAAAGUAAAAGGCAGUGAAAACGGGGUGUAGGGAGCAUGUUUUUAAUGAGUAACCUCUAAAAUUUGGAUACGCAUGGUUAGUUGCAGAAACUAGCAAUAAAAUUUUCUCAUAUGUCAAUGUCCAAAAUGUUUAAUGGUUUCUUCAAAUGCCUUUCAGUUGUAACCCGUGGUGGGUCUGAUGGAAUUUUGGGACAUAGGAAUUGAUUAUUGGUUGCAUUAUGAACCCUGUCGAUAUCCCGAUCAAUGCUAUGUGUACUUUAAUUUGCUUUCAGAGUUGGUUGUUUUCUGCUCAUAAUUUACCCGUCUUCCAUAAAUUAUCUAUUUCAAUGUUCUGUUACAUAUGCAACAAAAUAAUGUACCUUCACGCGUAUGGAACAAUUUUCUUUCAUUUAAAUUAUGUUUUCCUUGCGUAUUCUUCUUCCUUCAUAAAUUUCCAUUUUUCUUAUGUGUGUAGAAUUUAUUUAUCCUUUUCUUUUAGCAUCUUUAGAUUCCACAGCUCAAUCAGGACAUGCAAAUGGGGGUGAUUGGCAAGAAGAGGUCUAUCAGAAGGUAAAAACUAUCUUGACUUAUUCUCCUAUAGAUAUUAUUACAGUUUCAACUUGGUUUUAAGAAGGUUUUAGGUGUAGGAAAGUGGUUCUGAAAAAGAAUAUUAGAGUAUGUUGGGAUGCAUCUCAUAGCAGGAACCAUAAAACUGAAGAAGUAGGAACUUAAAACAAAUUUGGUAAAAGAAAUUCAGACAUUUUCUGAAUUACUUAUUACUUUGUUAAUAAGAACUUGAAUUCUUUUGGCUUGUUCUUAGAAGAAAGAAAAUAAAGUUUAUUUAAAUCCUUCAGCUCUCUACUAAAGAUCCAUUAAAAUUGGUGAGCAAGAAACCUAAGACCAAGGGUAUCUUGCAUACUUGCCUUCAAAGUAAUCAUCAUUUAUCGACACCUUUGUUUCUUCUGUUAUUGACUAAUAUCAGUGCCUGCUAGUCGGAAAAUGGAAAAAUCUUGUUACUUUUCUAAUAAAUCAUGACACUGGGAUAAAUUGAGUGGUUUAAUUGUUGGUUAAGCAUUCUGUUCCUGAUUUUAUGUUGCAGAUCAAGGCCAUGAAAGAGACAUACUUACCUGAAUUAAAUGAGAUGUACCAGAAAAUUGCUGCCAAGUUGCGGCAGGUAUGUUUAUUCUUUUACAUAAUCAUAUAUAUUCAUUCCCUAACCUCCAAGGAGUGAUAGAACCCAUCUGCCCCGUAGUCUGCCACCCUGUGUCUCUAAAUAGAAUUUAGAGAGGACUUUACUGUUCCACAUUAGAAAGCUGUUGAACCCAUACCACUUUUGGGUUGCUACUCGAAUCCCCUUACCAUAGACACUGUUUAGUGGUUGCACUUAUGCAUAUUUGUUGUAAUAGUUGUUUGUAGUUUUACUGGCAUCAGUUAAAACAAUUUUAUGUGUACCAUUUUCCAGCAUGAUUCUCUUCCACAGCAGCCAAAGUCAGAGCAGCUUGAAAAGUUGAAAAUGUUCAAGAUCAUGUUGGAGCACGUUAUAUCUUUCUUAUCAGUUCCCAAAGCCAGUAUCGCACCCACUUUCAAGGAUAAGUUGAGUUUGUAUGAGAAGCAGAUAGUAAAUAUUUUAAAUACCAAUAGGCCAAGGAAGGCAGUCUCAGCACUGCAGCAAGGACAGCUUCUUCCACCUGAUAUGCAUUCCAUGCCGCAGCCACAACCUCAAAUUAAUCAGACACAGUCUCAUGAUAAUCAAAUGAUCCCUCAGUUGCAGUCAACGAAUUUACAAGGUUUUGUUCCAACAAUGCAGCCGAACAACAUGACAAGUUUGCAGCAUAAUUCUGUGUCUUCCUUACCUGGGGUUGCAACAGCGCAGCAGACCAUGUUAAAUUCGCUGCACCCCAGUUCCAAUUUGGAUGCGGGACAAGGUAAUGCCCUAGGCUCAAUGCAGCAGGCUGCUGCAGGACCUUUACAACAGAAUCCUGUGAGUACCUCCCAACAGGCAAAUAUUAACAGUUUAUCUUCACAAAGUGGGUUAAGUGUCCUGUUGCAAAACACGAAUCCUUUUCAGUCAAAUUCCAACAUGCUUCAGCACCAGCAUAUGAAACAACAGCAGGAACAGCAAAUGCUGCAGUCACAAAUGUACAAACAACAGUUUCAACUGCUUCAGAUGCAGCGGAAGCUGCGGCUACUGCAACAGCUACAGCAACAGCAACAAAAGCAGCUGCAUGAAAUGGAUGAUAUAAAUGACGUGAACAUGAGACAGGGAAUCGGUGUUAAUCCUGGGGUUCUUCAAGCAAAUCUCUCAACUGACCAACUUCCAGGUUAUUCAUAUGAGCAUUCAAAACCUAGUGUCCAAUUUCAUACAUCUUCCACCCCCCGCUCUUUCAGGCUCCAUUUGUCCGCACCUACUUCAAUCCCCCGUUGGAGUCCAUAUCCCUCGCCUGAGAACACUGAGAAAUCUAUCUAUGGCGCUUCCUCUCUGUCAAAUAACAAAAAUAUUAGUCAGCAGCAAGGAAAGAUCUGAAUUCCCUGCACUGACACACUUGGUAAUGGUAAUGGUCAACAUCACCUUUGCUUACUGUGUUCGAAAAUGCUAAUGAUGCUCACAGUAUUGCUUUAACAACUGAUUUUGGCAAGUCGAAGGUUACAGAACUGCCACAUGAUCCCCAGAGUUACCAUGGUUAGUGAAGCUUAAUUAAUUUUCAUUGUUCACAUUAUCUUUUUCAAUUUGCUCCUUUGGCUUGAUAUGUUGUUCAUGUAGUGAAAGAGUGGAAAAAAACCUUGAAAUCCUUCCUUUUUUUUUUUCCUUCUAUUUGACUUUAAUCUUCUAAUAUAGUUUGUUUUAGCUUUUGAAAUGAUGUUGGUUCUAUUACUAUUUUAUAAAGUUUCAGGCAAAACCCAUGUCACUUAAAUCAUUGGAGGCAUCCGUUGUGACCAUGGUUGAUGAGGCAAGCCUCUGCAAGUUGGUGUGGAUGUGGCCGCCACGAGCAAGGGUGGUUUGCGUCGAAGAAGUUUCUUUCCACAAAGUGGAAUGACUGGAGCCGAGAAAAUGAGAUUCUACAUGAGUGCACUGUCUAUGUUAGCUCUAAUGUUUUGGUUCGUUAUAAUAACAUCUGCAUGAGCAGUAGCAAACAAAUUUCCAAAGCUUUUUAUGCUUGGGUAAAAGAGGAAAGGCCCAUUGGUUAUAGCAUGGAUUUCUCUUGUAAGGAGUCAAGAUGAUACUAUUACGACAAAUUGUUGGCAGGUGUUUGCUUAUUUAAAGGUUUUUGAACUUGUUUACAUUCCUAUGAAAUAUAUUAGGAGAUGCAUGCAUCAAAGUUCAUGCCGUUUAAGCCUCAGUGCAUGCCGUUUCUGACCAAUCUAGCCAUGUAAUAACACUAGUUAUCUUACUAAACACAUAAUUUGACCCUAGCUUUUUUUAUCGAGUGACAAGGGUGUUUAGGGUUUUAUGUUUGGGUCGAUCUAAGGUUAUCCAAUACCUUUAGGUGAAGAGCCAUCUAGAUUAGAAAUACCUAGAUGUAAUAAGAGAUAAUGAUCACUUUUAUUUUUCAAUAGGAAAGAGAGAAAAAGAAGGUGAAGUUGGUAUUGAUUUGACGAAAUGUCACAUUUGUAGUCAAAUUUGCUAAAUAUUCAUUGAUGGAAGUGGACCCUUGCAUGUGCUGCCUACACAAAUGGUCCCUUUUUAUUGUUUAAGAUUCUUAAUCACUAAAGGAUUUUUCUUUUCUUUUCUUUUUUUUUUUUAAUAAUAUCAUUAUGACUAUGCUUAGAUUUUGUGGAAAUUUAAUUUUUUAGAUAAUUUUAAGAAUAUAUUUUUUCAUAUAAAUCUCAUGUAUAUACUUUUUUUUAUUUCAAAAUGUCAUUUAUUAAUUUUUAACAAAAUUUAAGAAAAAUUUUAGAUUUUAGUGUGUUUAAUUUUAAAAUUUAAAAUUUUUUUAUAAAUUAAAGUUUUAUGACUUUUAAUGUCAAAAAGUUAAAAAAAUCAUAAAAUUUAAUUUUAAAAUAUAAAAAUAAAAAUUUUAAAUGUUAAAAAAAUCCAACAUAAUUUGAGACAUUUCAAAAAGGAAAGAUUGAAAAAAAAUAGGACAAAAGGAAUAUGAUUUUAUUUUUAUAUAUUUUUCAUAAAAAUAGAAUCCUAAUUAAUACGAAUAAAAAUGUAAAAAAAAAAAAAAAAAACAACCAUAGAAAUCCGAACUUGGAAGGAAAAAAAAAAAAGAUUAAGUGGGCAACUUCAACAUGCAAGGUUCGCACUAGUAAAUUCCACAUGUUACCAUGUAAUUGUAACCUAACCAUUUUCACUAAAAGUACUACAAUAUUUUGAUUUUAAGUGAUUACUUUUGAUUAAAUGUGUAAAUAAUACAUUAAUAUUUUUAAGUUAUUCGAGUUCGAUUCGAAUAAAAUUUGAAUUCGGUUCAAUUAUUAUGUAGUCGAGUUCGAGCUCGAUUAGUUCGAUUCAUCGAUCGAAUCGAGUUCGAGUAUUUUUAUACUUAGCUCGAGUAACUCGCGAGUUUAAUCGAAUUUUUAUAUUUAAAUUUUAUUUAUUAUUUUAAUUAAUAAAAUAUCUCGAAUUCGAGUUCGAACUCGAGCAUAAAUAAUUGAGCUCUUAUCGAGUAUAAGAAUCAAGCUUAUUUUUAUAUAUUUUCGAGCUUAAUCGAACGAGUUCGAGUAAUUUAAAUUCGAUCACAAAUCGAAUUCAAGAUAAAAAAAUGAAUCUUGAUCGAAUUCGAACUGAAUAUCGAGUCACGAGUUGAAAAUCAAGCUAUAAUUUAAAUUUUUUAUUGUAUCGAUUUGACUCUUACUUUUAACAAUGAAUUUACGUGAUUGAACGAGGAUAAAUUUUACUUUUAGAUCUUUUGCUUCUUGUAAGCUUGGGACUUGUUUUCUCAUUUGAGUGCUACAGUAUAUGAAUUGAUGGUUCUCUUUUCUUCUUACUAACUGAAUUAUACCCAUUCAUUAAAUAACUUAUAGCUGUAACGGACACUAGUGGUCUUGCUUUUCUAUAUCAUUUUAUGAACGAUGGUAAUUUUGGUAUGUGGUCUAUUUGAAUGUAGCUGAUAUAUGAAGGUCAUGAUGGCCACUUUGUUUAUUUGGGAGAACUUUGUUAAAUUCCAAUGCCAUGGCUUCUAGAUAUUUGAAUGAGACAGUCCUGAACAAGUUAAUGAGGAAAAUCUUUUGGUGGUCAGAUUAUAUCCUGGUUAAUUUUCAUUUGAUUUUAUGUUAACUUCACAAUUUGGUCAUGGCAUUGUUUUAUUAACCAUGGAAGAUUCUUAUAUAUAUCCGUUUGGUUUGUCGAUAACUUACACAAUGCCUUGUGUGCAUAGAAUGGACACAUUGAAGAGGCACCUUCCAUUUUCUGGCCAAGAGGGUUUAAAUGAACUCAGGAAAAUCGCAGUAAGGUUCGAGGAAAAGAUUUUUACAGCAGCAAACAGCCAGGUAAUCAUAGAAUAUUGGCAUUCCUUAACCUGCUUGGAUGCAUUGUUGUUUACCUAUAUUUUGUUUGUUUGCGUUGUGUGUGUGUAUCUUUGUGUUUCUUUUUUUUCUUAUUCAUAUGUAUAGACAUGCAUAUGUCACGGAUCGAGACUUAAGCUCCGAACCCGCGCGGCUCUGGAACCUGGGCAUUCACCCUUUCGGCAUCCCAGAUCAGCCUUCCUGCCACGGUUCACACCCUUGUGAGGUAUUGUCCGCUCUGACCCCCUGACCUCACGGUUUUGUCCUACAAAAGGCGCUUCACAAGGCGGAGAUGGUGUGAACCCUUUUAUACUCCAGGGACCUUUCUAUUAUGUUCGAUGUGGGAUUCAGGACUCCCUCUUAGGUCCGUGACAUUUUCUCGUACCCAACCUCGUGACGCCCUCGUCACGGAGGCCGGCCACCCUGCCUACCUCCCUCGAGGUGCUUGGCGUGGAUCGAAAGGUUUAGGGCUGGCUCUGAUACCACUUGUCACAGGUCGAGACUUAAGCUCCGAACCCGUGCGGCUCCGGGACCCGGGCAUUCACCCUUCUGGCGUCCCAGAUCAGCCUUCCUGCCACGGUUCACACCCUUUUGAGGUAUUGUUUGUCACGGACCUAAGGAAGAGUCCUAAAUCCCACAUCGAACAUAAUAGGAGGGUCUCUGGGGUAUAAAAAAGUUCACACCACCUCUGCCUUGUGAGUCGCCUUUUGUAGGACAAAACCGUGAGGCCAAGGAGGCCAGAGCGGACAAUACCUCACAAGGGUGUGAACCGUGGCGGUCAGGCUGAUUCGGGAUGUCGGAAGGGUGAAUGCCCGAGUCUCGGAGCCGCGCGGGUUCGGAGCUUAAGUCUCGACCCGUGACAAGUGAUAUCAGAGCCAGCCCUAAACCGUUUGAUCCACGCCGAGCACCUCGAGGGAGGUAGGCAGGGUGGCCGACUUCCGUGAUGAGGGCGUCACGAGGUUGGGUGCGAGAGAAUGUCAUGGACCUAAGGAAGAGUCCUGAAUCUCACAUCGAACAUAAUAGGAGGGUCCCUGGGGUAUAAAAGGGUUCACACCACCUCCGCCUUGUGAGGCACCUUUUGUAGGACAAAACUGUGAGGUCAGGGGGGCCAGAGCGAACAAUACCUCAUAAGGGUGUGAACCGUGGCAGAUAGGCUGAUCCGAGACGCCGGAAGGGUGAAUGCCCAGGUCCCGGAGCCGCGCGGGUUCGGAGCUUAAGUCUCGACCCGUGACACCAACUGUCACGGGCUCCGACCUUAGACUCAGAAUCCGUGCGGCCUUAGGCUUGGAAUCUCCUCCUUUAUGCCUAAAUCAGCCUAAAACACAAGCGUGCGGGCACUAAAACAAUGGGAAUGGCUGAUUACGCAAGUUAAAGAAAAACAGGACAAAAAGACAGAAUUCUGGAAAUGCUCUUGUAUUCAUUGGUGUGAACCCUUUUAUACCCUAGUGACCUUCCUAUUAUGUUCGAUGUAAGAUUCAGGACUCUCUCUUAGGUCCGUGACAUUCUCCCGCACCCAACCUCGUGACGCCCUCGUCACGGAGGCUGGCCACCCUGCCUACCUCCCUCGAGGUGCUUGGCGUGGAUCGAACGGUUUAGGUCCGUGACAUUCUCCCGCACCCAACCUCGUGACGCCCUCGUCACGAAGGCUGGCCACCCUGUCUACCUCCCUCGAGGUGCUUGGCGUGGAUCGAACGGUUUAGGGCUGGUUCUGAUACCACUUGUCACGGGUCGAGACUCAAGCUCCGGGACCCAGGCAUUCACCCUUCCGGCGUCCCGGAUCAACCUUCCGUCACGGUUCACACCCUUGUGAGGUGUUGUCGGCUCCGGCCCCCCUGACCUCACGGUUUUGUCCUACAAAAGGCGCCUCACAAUGCGAAGAUGGUGUGAACCCUUUUAUACCCCAGUGACCUUCCUAUUAUGUUCGAUGUGGGAUUCAAGACUCCCUCUUAGGUCCGUGACACAUACACCUAGACUCCUUGUCAAUUACAUUAGAAGUAAAUAAGAAAGAAAUCCAGGGAGGAAAGAGAGCAGAGGUAGGAAAAAACAAAGAUGCUAAAUGCUAACUCAUUAUUAAGCAUGGUUAAUAUAACAUAUUUGAUAAUCUUGUCUUGUAUUUGAAUAAUGAAGUAAAGGCUGUUUACUCUAAUGCCGAAUGGAUUGCUAUAUUCAGUCGGAUUAUCUGAGGAGAAUAUCCUUGAAGAUGCUUACUAUGGAGAACAAGUCUCAGAAUACUAUGCCCAACUCUGGGAAUAACAGCAAGCCCCCUGAUCCAGGUAAUAGCAGGAAACAGCAUUUUGCUUUGAUGUAUUCUACAAGUAGGACAUUUUCCGUUUACAUGUCCUUUCUGUUCUUUAACAUGCAGAGUUGUUUAACUUGCAACAUUUAUGCACAUAUUAUUUCUGCAGCUAUUUGAAUGAAAAUUACCUAUAUUUUAACUCUUUUGUCCCCUUAACAAAGCGUGGUUGUUUUGGUGGGUUGGAGUUGUUUAAGGAUUGUUUUGAUGAGCACCCAAACAGAAAGGCCUAUUUGUUGUUCCCAUGAUUGUAGUCUUUCUGCGUGGGAUGCACCUCUUCAUGUGCUAGGCCUAGGAAUAAUUUUAUUAUUUUUUCAUGAUCCUCAUGGUAUGAUUCAAUUGCCCUCACAUGUUUUAAGUCUAGUUAUCUUUUUGAAUGAAUUACUGCUUCAGUAUUUUUGUUGUUUAUCUUGUUCUAAAUGUUCUUCAAUUCAGUUCUUGUGGGUUCUUCCCAACUUUUCUUUCUGAAUAUAAAAAUCUUGGGUAGGUUCUCAGGGCAUGCAAAACCAAGUUUACAGUCAAGGGCUAUCAAUUCCUAUCCAAUACAAAGUAAUCAGUCUCAAGCACGUCAACAACUGUUACCCCAGUGUGUUCCAAAUAACAUGUCAUCUGCUGGAGUUCAAAGUUCUACUGGUUUACAAUCUGGGAUGGCUUCUGUCUCUGAACCAACCCAGAAUUCUAUACCUAAUGUUGUUGGCCAGAAUUCCAACAUGCAAAACUUGUCUGAAAUUUCACAGAACUCACUGGGGCAAGGGAAAUCUUCCAAUAUUUUUACUAUUCAGUAGAGGCACAUGCAAGGAAGGCAAUGGGUGCUACGGCAACAGCAGCAGCAACAACCAUACCAUCAGCAGUUACAACAGCAACUUAUGAAGCAAAAGAUUCAACAAGGAAAUCUCCAGCCUUCACUUAUGCAGUUUCACAUGCCGCAACAGCAACAGCAAAACCUGUUACCACCUACUCAGUUGCGAUCUUGCCUGCAAUCUGGUAUGCAAACAUCAUCCGUUAUGCAGCCAUCUGCCAUGCAAUCAACUCCUCUUACUGGUUUUCAAAAGAAUCAGCAAUCUUCUCUACAAGAGUCAAUACAGUCCAUGCUUCAGCAGCAUCAACAGCCACAAGCGGCCACCAGUGUUGGUAUUCUUCAACAACAAACAGCAAUGACACUGCAGUCAAUGAUGCCUCAGCAGCAGCAACAACCUCCACAGCCACAGCAACGGCUGCAGCAGCCAAACAUAAUGGGACAACAGACAAAUGCUGCACAUAUAAAGCAGAAUCAGUUAAUUGGACAACAAAAUAGCAUUGCGGACAUGCAGCAGCAGAGAUUGCUAGGCCAGCCUAAUAAUCCUCCAAACCUGCAGCAGCAGCAUCAGUUAAUGGCUCAAGAAAACCUCUCAAAUAUCCAUCAGCAACUGUUGGGUCCUCAAAGUAAUAUUUCAGGAUUACGGCAACAGCAGCAGCAGCAAUUGAUUGGAACCCAAUUGGGUAACUCAAGCAUGCAAACUAAUGAGCACAUGCUACCCCAGCCUAAGGUUUCACUCCAACAAAGGCAGCAGAGUGCACCUAAUUUGUUACCAACUCAAGGACAGACAUCCCAGCAGCCACAGCAGCAGCAGCAGCACUGAUGUCACAGAUGCAAUUAAAGUCUACUCAGCUGCAGCAACAAUUGGGUUUGCAAUAGCAGCCCAAUCAAUUACACCAAAAUAUGCAGCCAAGGUUUCAUGCAUCAGGUCAACUAUCAUGUUCCCUGCUUCAAUCACAAAAUUUGAUAGAUCAGCAAAAGCAAUUGUAUCAAUCGCGCAGAGCUAUUCCAGAGACAUCAUCAAGUAUGUUUUUGAAUGCUUGCAGUUGCUUACUUUGUUCUUUCUUUGUUUCUUUCUGAUCUUGUGUUAUUUAACGAAUCUAUGCAAUUUUUCCUCUGAUACUAGCACAUUUUAUCCUUGAAGCCGGAAAAAAAUCUAUUUUCCCAUAUAGCUACUAUAGUUGAUGCUAUUGUUUUUCAUUGCAUUUCUAUUACAGAAAAUAAUUUCCAUUCCAACUUGGGGGGAUUAAGAGAAUAUCUUUUUGAACUUGCACUACGUUGUCCUAUCAAAGCACAUUUUGCCUAGAUGAUUAGUUCUUAGCUAACAAAGACAAAUGCUACCAAAAUUAAUGGCACCCUUGCCUUCAUAAGCUGAUCAUGGGCACUGCCUGGCUUUUUAUGCCACCAGAAACAUUGUUGUUACUGUGGAAAACUCAGAAAUAAAAUUGUGGAAAUCUAAGAGUAAAAACUGAAUGUAUAUUGAAAAACUGCUCAUUAAGAAUUAUACAAGAACCUUAGUUUAUAUACAACUAACUAGGGGUUAAACUAGGAAACUAAAUCUUUCUAAAAAUUGAUCAUAUGAUUGAGGGAUUGUCUAUUAUUGUCUUUAAUUCUAGGGAUACAAAUACUUAAUUCUAGAGAUACAAAAAUAAAUAUACAGAUUACAAAAUUACAACCAGCUGUAAAUAAGUGUUUUCUCACACCCCCCCUCAAGCUAGUGAAUGGGUGUUUUCCAUUCCCAACUUGGAAAUAAUUUCUUGAAAUAUUGCACUGCUGAGACAUUUAGUCAACACUUCUGUAAGUUGAUCCUUGGUUGAUACAUAAGGUGUACAAAUCAACCCACUGUCUAGUUUCUCUUUUAUGAAAUGCCGGUUUACUUCAAUGUUUUUUGAUCUGUCAUUGGUCCAUCCCACUUGAUAUUCAAGUCUUCUAGAAUAAUUUUUAACCAUAGUAGUUCACAAAUUCCUUGAGCCAUUGUUCUGAACUCUGCUUCAGCACUUGAUCUUGCAACCACAUUUUGUUUUAUACUCCUCCAAGUCACGAGAUUACCACUUAAGAAAGUGCAGUAGCUUGAUGUGGAUCUUCUAUCAGUAGCUGAACUUGUAUAAUCAACAUCUAUAUAUGUUUCUAGAACUAGCCCCGAAUUUCUUUUGAAUAAGAUACCUCUCCCAAGAUUGGCCUUCAAAUAAUGUAAUACACGGUAAACAGCCUGUAGGUGCACUUCUUUAGGACUAUGUAUGAAUUGACUUACCACACUCACAACAUAUGCUAUAUCAGGUCUAGCAUGUGAGAGAUAAAUGAGUCUUCCAAUUAAUCUUUGAUACAUCUCUCUAUCUACAGCAGCAUCUUCAUUAGCUUAUCCAAUUUUAUGAUUAAGAUCUAUAGGGGUAUUUACAGGUUUACAUGCGAGCUUCUCAGUUUUCUUCAGAAGAUCCAUCACAUAUUUCUGUUGUGAGAUGAAAAUAUCAUGCCGUGAGUGAGCUACUUCAAUUCCUAGGAAUUUUUUUAAUCUUCCUAGCUCAUCUAUCUCAAAUUCCCUAGCUAAAUACAAUUUUAGAGAUUUUCUCUCUUUUUUAUCAUCUCCAGUUACAAUUAUAUCAUCAACAUACACUAAUAGAAUUGUGACUCUCCCUGAAUUAGAGUGUUUGAUAAACAAUGUGUGAUCUCCUUGACUCUGUUUAUAUCCUAUUGCUAGCAUCACUUUGACAAAUCUCUUGUACCAGACCCUAAGAGACUGUUUAAGGCCAUAUAAAGCCUUUUUCAGUUUGCAUACUUUGUUUGCUUGUAGAUGACCUCCAAAUCCCGAUGAAACCUUCAUAUAUAUUUCUUCUUCCAAAUCUCCAAGUAGAAAAGCAUUUUUUACAUCAAAUUGUUGAAGCUACCAAUUGUAAUUUGCAGCCAAUGAUAACAAAAUCUUAACUGUAUUCAUCUUGGCAAUUGAAGCAAAGGUUUUCUGAUAAUCCACUCCAUAGGUUUAAGUGUAGCCCUUAGUCACUAAUCUGGCUUUAUACCUUUCAACAUUACCAUUUGCCUUGUAUUUUACAGUGAAAACCUAUUUACGUCCUCCUGACUUUUUUCUUUUAGGCAACUCUACCAGUUCUCAUGUCUUAUUUUUCUCUAAGGUCUCCAUUUUUAUUUUCAUGGAUUACCUCCAUUUUUCACUAAAUAAUGUCUCGGAUAAUGUAGUUGGAACAAAAAUAGUGUUUAGGCUCACUAAAAAAUUUUUGUAGAAUGAUGAGAAUUUUUCAAAUGGCACAAAAUUAGAGAUUUGGUAUAGUGACUGCUUAGUACAUUCUUUGGUUUCUUUCUUAAUGGCAAUAGAAAGAUCAUAAUCACUUGUUAUAGUUUUAAGAGAUUCAUGCUCAUUUUGAAAAAUAGAGUCAAAACUGUAGUUACCUCAUUUCUAGAGUUAAGAACAAGUUCUUAGUCUGGCAUUGGUUCAGGAUCUGAAACUUUUCUUCUUGAGUACAUUUGUAAUCCCUUCAUAGAAUCAAGAACAAUAUUAUCCUUUGUCACAUCUUCUGUGUUUGAAAUGGGUUCAGACUCAAAUUCAGUGUUUGACUUGGGCUCAGCAGAAACAGGUUUCCACUUAAGAAAAUUAAUGGGUGAAAAUGUUGAAGAGAAGGACAAAUUAAACAAAAAGAAGUCUUUAUCAUUAUCUUCCAUGAAUGAAGUCUCUCCCUGAAGAUAAAGUUGAGUAAAAAAUGGUUUACUUUCUUCAAAAGAGACAUCUGCAGAUACAUAUAAUUUUUUGGUAGGAAGAUGAUAACACUUAUACUUUUUCUGAGUCACAAAGAUACACUUAAUUGCUCUUGGAUGCAAUUUUCUUUUAUUAUGACUGUGAACAUGAACAAAUGAUGUACAACCAAAUAUCCUAGGUGUGAGGUUGUUUGGGUAUUGAGGUUGGGAUAGAAUUUUGAAAGUAGUUCCAUAGGAGUUUUAAAUCUUAAAACCUUUGAAGGUAACCUAUUUAUAAUGUGUGUGGCAAUGAGAACAGCUUUCCUUCUAGUAAGAUUUGGAUACAUUUGCUUAAAAAAGGAAGGCUCGGGUUGUGACUAGUAAAUCGUUAUUUUUUCUUUCUGCCACUCCAUUCUGCUCUGGAGUAUUAACACAAUAUGGCCCAUGAAUAAUCCUCUCUUUUUGAAAAUAAGUGGAUAGACUCUAGUUGAAAUAGUCUCUUGUAUUAUCAGACCUAAAUCUCAUGAUUCUCUUCAAAUUGAUUUUGGAUCAUGUUUUGGAAGCUUAAAAAUAUACUAUUCAUAUCUGAUUUGGAUUUAAAUAAAAAACUCAAAAGAUCCUGGUACAAUCAUCUAUGAAUGAAACAAAUCAUUUUGCACUAGAAAUAUUAGAAAUUGUAGAGGAACCCUAAAUGUCUCUAUGAAUCAAGUAAAAAAGAGUAGAACUUCUUUUGUUACUAAUUGAAAAAGACACACGUCUGUGCUUUGCAAGUUCACAAACAUCACAAUGAAAAUCUUUGAUGUUUAAUCCAUUGAACAAAGAAGGAAACAUGUUUUACAAAGUUCCAAAAGAAGGAUGUCUAAGACGAAAAUGAUAAAGCUAGAUUUUGUCUUUAGUGAAAGAUUUUUCAGAAAAAAAUGACAAAGGUAAAUUAUUCUUGAUAUUACUUGUGUUGUUUGAUGUCUCAAGAUGGUAUAGUCUAUCCUUCUCUUUAGCAAGUCCAAUCUUUUUCUCCGAACUCUGGUGCUGAAAUUCACAAUAAGAGGGAUAAAAAAUCACUUUACAGUUCAUAUCUUUGGUAAGUUUUUGUGUAGAUAUCAUAUUAGUAGACAAUCCAAGAAUAUGAAAAAUAUUUUUUAGAACAAAUGAGGGAUUAAUUUGAACAUCUCUUAAUCCUACCACUGUAACAAGUGAACCAUCUGUAACAACAAUUUUCUUAUUACUAGAACACAUGUUGUAUGUACUAAACUUCUGUGAAGAAUGUGUCAUAUAGUCCAUGGCUCAUGAGUCAAUGACUCAAGAACUCGUAAUAGGCUUAACCAAGACAUUUAAUCCAUGAGAACCAAAAAUUUUACCUGAACUAGAGACCUUACUCAAGGAACAUACUACAGUAGGCUUUUCAAGGGUUCAAUAGCUUUUUCAGCUUUUCAAUCUCUUCGCUGUUCAACUCUCAUUGUUUUCGAGACAUCUAUAAUACUUCAGUAAUUUUUUCAAUUGACAUUUUCUCAAAUUGGGUGGUGGUGAUAUCUUUCUUUGAACUGAAAGAAGUCUUAAGAUAUAAUUAGAAAUAACUCUUAGCAAUGAAGGCUGAAGAAGAGAAAAAUAAAAUGGUUAUGAAGGCUUUAACAGGGUUUGGCAAUGAAGGCCUAAGCAGGGUUCGACAAUGAAGGCCUAAAAAUAAAAGUCUACAAUGAAGGUUGAAAAAUUUUGCUUCCCAAGAAGAGCCUAAAGCUCUGAUACUAUGUGAAAAACUUAGAAAUAGAGCUAUGUGAAAAACUAAGAGUAAAAACUGAAUGUAUAUUGAAAAACUGCUCAUUAAGAAUUAUACAAGAACCUUUGUUUAUAUACAACUAACUAGUGGUUAAACUAGGAAACUAAAUCUUCCUAAAAAUUGUUCCUAUGAUUGAGGGAUUGUCUAUCAUUAUCCUUAAUUUUAGGGAUACAAACACUUAAUUCUAGAGAUACAAAAAUAAAUAUACAGAUUACAAGAUUACAACCAACUGUAAAUAAGUGUUUUCCCACAGUUACCACUGUCACUGCUAAGUCUCCACUGUUGUCACUGUGCUAUUAUGUUACUCUUAACACUUACUCUAGUUAUUUUGCAAUGAUUUUGUCAAACCACAAAGCAAUGGCUGGAUUUAAUCUAUUCAUUUUAUCAACAAAUAAUUCAUGCUGUUUUAUUCAACGAGUUUUCGUGUUUGGCUAUAAAACAUUCUUCUGGAAAUAAGUAAACUGUGUUUUGUGUGCAAAGAGAAGUGACCAUUUUGUUGGUUAAGCUCAAAGAGUAGAAACAAAUGCAUAAACUCACUCAUGCCCUUCAUAUUCAUUUGAAUUUUAGAAUAGUCGGAUAUUUCUAGCAGUUUGUUUGAUUAUGUCGGGUUGGUGUGAUUCCUUUGUCCGACUUAAAUAUUGUUGUUCUUUCUUGUAAUCUAGCUUUUAAAAAUGUUCCCACCACUUAAUUUAACAAAAAAUUAUGAUUAGGAGAUUGCAGUCCUGUUUGAGAACAGCUAGUUACUGUUUUUGUAUCAAAAUAGAGGGUAAACAUGCUUGCAAAUGUCAGAGGAGUUUUGUUUGAAUGAAGAAUGCAUAACGAAUGACUAGAUAAGCAAGUGGGUGACAGCAAGCUGGUUCAUGCACGCAUGAUGGUUAAAAGGGUGUCAAAACUCAAAAUUGUCUUAGUAGUGUUUUUGAUUUAGUCUAACGGCUUUUUAUUGAAACAUUAAAAUUUGGCUGUAGAUUUAAUUAAGUUCUGGAUAUGACCUAUAUUCCUUGAGUCUAAUUUGUCCCCUAAAUUUUUUUUAGUACUUUAGUUUGGCUCGCCCAUUAUUUUGCUUGACAAUAUUAUUUUUAAUGAAUAACAACGUCUGUAGCAGAAAAUUAGUUAACUUUUUUUAGGUCUUCCUUCUCAUGAUCACUUAAACUUAUCUAUCGUUUACUCCUGUUCCAACUGAACUUCUUUUUAUAGAUGGCAAAUGUAUAGUUAGCUUGUAACUUGAGAAACUCUAUAAGUAGCCUUGAAAAAUAAGAAUGAUGUUUGAACUUGGAGUUUGUCUCUGUGUCACAAUGGAAAGUCAAAAUUAAAAAAUUUUCUACUUUUGUAAGUGUACAUCUUAGAAUAUCCCAAAAGUAAAAGGCAGUGGAAAUGGGGUGUAGCGAUCAUGUUUUUAAUGAGUAACCUCUAAAAUUUGGAUACGCAUGGUUAGUUGCAGAAACUAGCAAUAAAAUUUUCUCAUAUGUCAAUGUCCAAAAUGUUUAAUGGUUUCUUCAAAUGCCUUUCAGUUGUAAGUCGUGGUGGGUCUGAUGGAAUUUUGGGACAUAGGAAUUGAUUAUUGGUUGCGUUAUGAUCCCUGUCGAUAUCCCCAUCAAUGCUAUGUGUACUUUAAUUUGCUUUCAGAGUUGGUUGUUUUUUGCUCAUAAUUUACCCUUCUUCCAUAAAUUAUCUAUUUCAAUGUUCUGUUACAUAUGCAACAAAAAUAAUGUACCUUCAAGCGAAUGGAACAAUUUUCUUUCAUUUAAAUUAUGUUUUCCUUGCGUAUUCUUCUUCCUUCAUAAAUUUCCAUUUUUCUUAUGUGUGUAGAAUUUAUUUAUCCUUUUCUUUUAGCAUCUUUGGAUUCCACAGCUUAAUCAGGACAUGCAAAUGGGGGUGAUUGGCAAGAAGAGGUCUAUCAAAAGGUAAAAACUAUCUUGACUUAUUCUCCUAUAGAUAUUAUUACAGUUUCAACUUGGUUUUAAGAAGGUUUUAGGUGUAGGAAAGUGGUUCUGAAAAAGAAUAUUAGAGUAUGUUGGGAUGCAUCUCAUAGCAGGAACCAUAAAACUGAAGAAGUAGGAACUUAAAACAAAUUUGGUAAAAGAAAUUCAGACAUUUUCUGAAUUACUUACUACUUUGUUAAUAAGAACUUGAAUUCUUUUGGCUUGUUCUUAGAAGAAAGAAAAUAAAGUUUAUUUAAAUCCUUCAGCUCUCUACUAAAGAUCUAUUAAAAUUGGUGAGCAAGAAGCCUUAGACCAAGGGUAUCUUGCAUACUUGACUUCAAAGUAAUCAUCAUUUAUCGACACCUUUGUUUCUUUUGUUAUUAACUAAUAUCAGCGCCUGCUAGUCAGAAAAUGGAAAAAUCUUAUUAUUUUUCUAAUAAAUCAUGACACUGGGAUAAAUUGAGUGGUUUAAUCGUUGGUUAAGCAUUUUGAUCCUGAUUUUAUGUUGCAGAUCAAGGCCAUGAAAGAGACAUACUUACCUGAAUUAAAUGAGAUGUACCAAAAAAUUGCUGCCAAGUUGCGGCAGGUAUGUUUAUUCUUUUACAUAAUCAUAUAUAUUCAUUCCCUAACCUCCAAGGAGUGAUAGAACCCAUCUGCCCCAUAGUCUGCCACCCUGUGUCUCUAAAUAGAAUUUAGAGAGGACUUUACUGCUCCACAUUAGAAAGCUGUUGAACCCAUACCACUUUUAGGUUGCUACUUGAAUCCCCUUACCAUAGACACUGUUUAGUGGUUGCACUUAUGCAUAUCUGUUGUAAUAGUGGUUUGUAGUUUUACUUGCAUCAGUUGAAACAAUUUUAUGUGUACGAUUUUCCAGCAUGAUUCUCUUCCACAGUAGCCAAAGUCAGAGCAGCUUGAAAAGUUAAAAAUGUUCAAGAUCUUGUUGGAGCACAUUAUAUCUUUCUUAUCAGUUCCCAAAGCCAGUAUCUUACCAACUUUCAAGGAUAAGUUGAGUUUGAAUGAGAAGCAGAUAGUAAAUUUUUUAAAUACCAGUAGGCCAAGGAAGGCAGUCUCAGCACGGCAGCAAGGACAGCUUCCUCAAUGAUAUGCAUUCCAUGCCGCAACCACAACCUCAAAUUAAUCAGACACAGUCUCAUGAUAAUCAAAUGAACCAUCAGUUGCUGUCAACGAAUUUACAAGGUUUUGUUCCAACAAUGCAGCGGAACAACAUGACAAGUUUGCAGUAUAAUUCUGUGUCUUCCUUACCUGGGGUUGCAACAGCGCAGCAGACCAUGUUAAAUUCCCUGCAGCCAAGUUCCAAUUUGGAUGCGGGACAAGGUAAUGGCCUAGGCUCAAUGCAUUCUCAGAAGCCUUGGUAGCAUUCUCAGAAGCCAACUAACAAUUAAUUCUUUAGUGAAUAGCAAUUGGUUGAGUAUUAGCAUUGCUUUCCACUGAUGUGCUGGUCUAGUGGUGAAAGUAGUGGUGUUUUAGUGAGUUACAGUCCUCCUUAGGUGCAUGACCAAUGGCCUAGGACAGAGAGAAAAAUCGGAAUCUUAAGAGCCUUGUGAAGAAGGGUUUCCUAGUAUUAGUAUUAAAUCAACCAAAUUGACAUCCAAUUGUAAAGUUGUGGUUUACAUAGCAAACCAUCAUGUUCAACUUAAGUCAUGGUUGUAGGGUGUCUGUGAGUGUCUAGUAACAUGUCUUGUCAUUUUGUAAGAGUGCGGCAAAUGAUGUAUACUGUCCACUUUAUCUUACAACAUUAACAAAAAUGAAAUCCUGCUCUUAUGUAUAAAUUUGUGGUUGCAAAAACUGUGUUUUACCCCGAGUUUCUUAUCAAGAGAAGGGGGUUGUUUACUGAAAAGAGCUUUGUCAAAUGUUUUGCAUAUUUGAGAAGUGAUUUGUGUCCAAACUUACAAGUUUUUCUUUUUCACUUCCUUUAAUAUAUGACAAAAAAUUUGAUGUGAAUUGUUUGUGACUUUUCUUUUCUCUUUUGAUGUUGUCAGAAUUUGAUGGAUACCAAUAACUGGAGGCCUACUCCUGCCAGUGGAGAGCCCACCAUGGAUACAGGUGAUUGGAGAACCCAGUUGCAGCCUGAUUCACGACAAAGAAUUGUCAACAAGAUGUAAGUGAAUUUUAUGGUAUUAUUAUUUGUUAAAUAUACUUGUUGUAUUUAAGUUACUGAUAUUCUGUGGCAUGUCUUUUACAGUUUCAAUAUUGUUAAUAACCAAACAAUACCAUCAAUAAAACCAUAUAUCCUAUUCUAGAGCGCAUUCUUUGUUUUGUAAAUACAUAGCUCGAAAAUCAAAGCUUGCUCUUACCCAGAGUUUGGGCACAAUAUAUGGAUCACGUAUCUGGAAGCCUGAUGUGGCAAAGCUAUUGGGUCCAAUUCUGUGUGGCGUACUUGGUAUCGACAUUUAAUGAAUUUAUGUGAUUGAAUGAGGAUAAAUUUUACUUUUAGAUCUUUUGCUUCUUGGAAGCUUGGGACUUGUUUUCUCAUUCGAGUGCUACAGUAUAUGAAUUGAUGGUUCUCUUUUCCUCUUACUAACUCAAUUAUACCCAUUCAUUAAAUAACUUAUAGCUGUAACGGACACUAGUGGUCUUGCUUUUCUAUAUCAUUUUAUGAACGAUGGUAAUUUUGGUAUGUGGUCUAUUUGAAUGUAGCUGAUAUCUGAAGGUCAUGAUGGCCACUUUGUUUAUUUGGGAGAACUUUGUUAAAUUCCAAUGCCAUGGCUUCUGGAUAUUUGAAUGAGUCGGUCCUGAACAAGUUAAUGAGGAAAAUCUUUUGGUGGUCAGAUUAUAUCCUGGUUGAUUUUCAUUUGAUUUUAUGUUAACUUCACAAUUUGGUCAUGGCAUUGUUUUAUUAACCAUGGAAGAUUCUUAUAUAUAUCCUAUUGGUUUGUCGAUACCUUACACAAUGCCUUGUGUGCAUAGAAUGGACACAUUGAAGAGGCACCUCCAUUUUCUGGGCCAAGAGGGUUUAAAUGACUCAGGAAAAAUCGCAGUAAAGGUUUUUCGAAGGAAAAGAUUUUUUACAGCAGCAAACAGCCAGGUAAUCAUAGAAUAUUGGCAUUCUUAACCUGCUUGGAUUGCCAUUGUUGUUUACCUAUAUUUUGUUUGUUUCGCGUUGUGUGUAUGUAUCUUUGUGUUUCUUUUUUUUCUUAUUUAAUAUGUAUACGAAUGCAUACACCUAGACUCCUUGUCAUUACAUUGGAAGUAAAAUAAGAAAAGAAAUCCAGGGAGUGAAAGGAGAGCAGAGGUAGGAAAAACAAAGAUGCCUAAAUGGAUAUUAAGCAUGGUUAAUAUAACAUAUUUGGACAAUCUUGUCUUGUAUUUGAAUAAUGAAGUAAAGCUUGUUUACUCUAAUGCUGUAGAUGGAUUUCUAUAUUCAGUCUGAUUAUCUAAGGAGAAUAUCCUUGAAGAUGCUUACUAUGGAGAAACAGUCUGAGAAUACCAUACCCAACACUGGGAAUAACAGCAAGGCCCCUGAUCCAGGUAAUUGCAGGAAACAGCAUUUUGCUUUGAUGUAAUCUAGAAGGAGGACAUUUUCCAUUUACAUGUCCUUUCUGUUCUUUAACAUGAAGAGUUGUUUAACUUGCAACAUUUAUGCACAUAUUCUUUCUGCAGCUAUUUGAAUGAAAAUUACCUAUAUUUUAACUCUUUUGUCCCCUUAACAAAGCGUGGUUGUUUUGGUGGGUUGGAGUUGUUUAAGGGAUAGAUUUGAUAAGCACCCAAAUAGAAAGCCCCAUUUGCUGUUCCCAUGAUUGAAGUCCUUCAGCAUGGGAUGCACCUCUUCAUGUGCUAGGCCUAGGAAUAAUUUUAUUAUUUUUUUCAUGAUCCUCAUGGUAUGGUUCAAUUGCCCUCACAGGUUUUAAGUCUAGUCAUCUUUUUGAAUGAAUUAAUUACUGCUUCAGUAUUUUUGUUGUUUAUCUUGUUCUAAAUGUUCUUCAAUUCAGUUCUUGUGGGUUCUUCCCAACUUUUCUUUCUGAAUAUAAGAAUCUUGGGUAGGUUCUGAGGGCAUGCAAAACCAAGUUCACAGUCAAGGGCAAUCAAUUCCUAUCCCAUUACAAAGUAAUCAGUCUCAAGCACAUCAACAACUGUUACCCCAGAGUGUUCCAAAUAACAUGUCAUCUGCUGGAGUUCAAAGUUCUACUGGUUUACAAUCUGGGAUGCCUUCUGUGUCUGGUCCAACCCAGAAUUCUAUACCUAAUGUUGUUGGCCAGAAUUCCAACAUGCAAAACUUGUCUGAAAUUUCACAGAACUCACUGGGGCAAGGGAUAUCUUCCAAUAUUUGUACUAAUCAUCAGAGGCAAAUGCAAGGAAGGCAACAGGUGCUACCGCAACAGCAGCAGCACCUUUGCUUGCAGGGUUCGAAAUUACCUGCACCUGACACACCUGGUAAUGGUAUGUCAACAUCACCUUUGCUUGCAGGGUUCGAAAAUGCUAAUGAUACUCACAGUAAUGCUUUAACAACUGAUUUUGGCGAGUCGAAGGAUACAGAAGAGCCACAUGUUCCCAGAGUUACCAUGGUUAGUGGAGCUUAAUUAAUUUUCAUUCUUCGCAUGCUCUUUUUUCAAUUUUCCCCUUUGACUUGAUAUGUUGUUCAUGUGGUGAAAGAGUGGUAAAAAAGCUUGAAAUCCUUCUCUUUUGUUUUUUUUCCUUUUGAUUUUAUCUUCUAGUAUAGUUUGUUUUAGCUUUUGAAAUGAUUUUGGUCUAUUACUAUUUGGUAUGUUUCAGGCAAAACCCAUGUCACUUAAAUCAUUGGAGGCAUCUGUUGUCGUCAUGGUUGAGGAGGCAGCCACUGCCGUUGGUGUGGAUAUGGCCGUCUUGAGCAAGGGUGGUCUGCAUCGAAGAAAUUUCCUUCCACAAACUGGAAUGACUGGAGCCGAGAAAAUGAGAUUCUACAUGAGUGCACUGGCUAUAUUAGCUCUAAUGUUUUGGUUCAUUAUAAUAGCAUCUGCAUGAGCAGUAGCAAACAAAUUUCCAAAGCUUUUAAUAUUUGGUUAAAGGAGGAAAGACGCAUUGGUUAUGGCAUGGAUUUCUCUCCUAAUAAGUCAUGACUAUUGACUGAUGAUACUAUUACGACAAAUUGUUGACAGGUGUUUGCUUAUUUAAAGGUUUUUGAACUUGUUUACAUUCCUAUCAAAUAUAUUAGGAGAUGCAUGCAUCAAAGUUCAUGCCGUUUAAGCCUCAGUGCAUGCAGUUUCUGACCAAUCUAGCCAUGUAAUAACACUAAUUAUCUAACUAAACACAUAAUUUGACCCUAGCUUUUUUUAUCAAGUGACAAGGGUGUUUAGGGUUUUAUGUUUGGGUCGAUCUAAGGUUAUUCAAUGCCUUUAGGUGAAGAGCCAUCUAGAUUAGAAAUACCUAGAUGUAAUAAGGGAUAAUGAUCACUUUUAUUUUUCAAGAGGAAAGAGAGAAAAAGAAGGUAAAGUUGGUAUUGAUUUGACGAAAUGUCACAUUUGUAGUCAAAUUUGCUAAAUAUUUAUUGAUGGAAGUGGACCCUUGCAUGUAAUGCACUGCCUGCAGAAAUUGGUCCCCUUUUAUUGCUUAAGAUUCUUACUCACUAAGGGAUCUUUCUUUUCUUUUCUUUUUUUUUUUAAUAAUAUCAUUAUGACUAUUCUUAGAUUUUGCGGAAAUUUAAUUUUUUAGAUAAUUUUAAGAAUAUAUUUUUUCAUAUAAAUCUCAUGUAUAUACUUUUUUUUUUGUUCAAAAUAUGUCAUUUAUUAAUUUUAACAAAUUUUAAGAAAAAAAUUUAGAUUUUAGUGUGUUUAAUUUUAAAAUUUAAAAAUUUUUUUAAAUUAAAGUUUUAAGACUUUUAAUGUCAAAAAGUUAAAAAAAUCUAAAAUUUAAUUUUAAAAUAUAAAAAAUAAAUUUUUUAAAUGUUAAAAAAAUCCAACAUUAUUUGAGACAUUUCAAAAAGGAAAGAUUGAAAAAAAAAAGGACAAAAAGAAUAUGAUUUUAUUUUUAUAUAUUUUUCAUAAAAAAUGAAUCCUAAUUAAUACGAAUAAAAAUGUAAAAAAAAAAAAGAAAAAGACAACCACAGAAAUCCAAACUUGGAAGGAAAAAAAAAAAAAAAGAUUAAGUGGGCAACUUCAACAAGCAAGGUUCGCAUUAAUAAAUUCCAAAUGUUGCCAUGUAAUUGUAACCUAAUCAUUUUCACUAAAAUUACUACAACAAUUUUGAUUUUAACUGGCGAUUUUUGAUUAAAAAUGUAAAUGAUAAAUUAAUAUUCAUAAGGUAUUUGGGUUCGAUUUGAAUAAAACUCAAAUUCGAUUUGAUUAUUAUUAAAUCAAGUUCGAGUUCGAAUAACUCGAUUCAUCGAUCGAAUCGAGUUUGAAUAUUUUAAUAUUCAGUUCGAGUAAUUUGUUAGUGUAAUCGAAUUUUUAUAUUUAAAAUUUUUUUAUUAUUUUAAUAAAUAAAAUAUCUCAAAUUCGAGUUCGAAUUCAAGCACAAAUAAUCAAGUUUUUAUUGAGCAUAAAAAUUAAACUUAUUUUUAUAUAUUUUUUAGCUUAAUCGAACGAAUUCAAAUAGUUUGAAUUCGAUUACGAAUCGAAUUCAAAAUAAAAAAAAAAAUUCAAUCGAAUUUAAAUUAAAUAUCAAAUAACGAGUUGAGAAUCAAGCUAUAAUUUAAAAUUUUCAUUAUAUCACUUAACUCUUACUUUUGACAAUAAUUUUGUGAAAAAGUGAAAGAGUGGCUUAAGAAAUUUUAGCCCACGAUUUUUACCGUUGUCAAAGGUAAACUUUUUGUAGUAAGGAAGUGAUAAACUCAAUGGCCUUCAAGUUUUUUCUUUUUUUCUUGCUUUCGAAUCUAAGAGCACCAUUUUUUUUUUCGUGCUAAUCGACUUGCUAGAAUUUUUUUUUUUUUAAUUUGAAUUCAAAAAUUUUAAUUUUAAAAUCAAUUUUAAUAUUAUUAAAUUAAUUUAUCAUUAUUCAUUAUUAAGUAAAAUUUUAUAUAUCAAUCUUAAAGAUGAAUUAUAAUUAUUAUACAUCAAAUUCAAUUUUUAUCUAUUUUAAUGUAUAUUGUAUUUUCCUUGAUAACAUAUUGAUUUGUUAAGAAUUGAUUUUCUUUUAUGUAAAAACUUGUUUAUUUGACUAAUUAUGUUUGUAAUAUUUAUUUGUAAAUGUAUUAAGCUAAUUAUGUCUCAUAAAAGAAUUUGGGUCUUGGAAGAAAAUUGAAUAAUUUAGUUAAAUUAUAUAAUAAUCAACUAAUACUUCAUUAUUAUAAAUAAAUGAAUUACAACUAGAUCUAUUAAAUUAUAAAAAAAUUACAAUUAAAUUUGAUAAUUUUAAAUAUGAUAUAUUGAUAUAAUAUAAAAAUUAUAUAAAAAGUAAAAAAAAUAAUAUGAUUUAGGAUUUUAAACAAAAUAAUAUGAAAUUUAAAUAACAAAAAAUAUAUUUUAUUUUUAACGUAUUAAUAUAAAUUUUGCAAUGAUAAUUUUAAACAAAUUAAAUACAAAAUAAACAUGAAAUAAAUAUAAAAAUUAUCUAAUUACAACACUCCUUAUUAAGUUGGUUAGGAAAUUAGGAAAAUUUUCACCAUUGAUUUUGUAUCAAUUUUGUCAAAAAAUAUAAGAAGAAAAAAUCAAAAGAAUUUCACAUUUUCCAAUACAAGUUUUUUAUAAAAACAAUACUAACAUAUUUUAUUUUGAUAAAUAAAUUUCAAACAGACAAAUUAUUUACAAAUAAAAUAACAUUAAAAUUUGAAUCUAAAAUUAUUUUUUAACUGAAGUGUAGGAACCAACUUUAAUUGCUUCAAUUAAUUUUAUUAUAACAAAAAAAUGGUUAAUUCCAAAAUAAAAAUGCAUGAUUGCAAAAAUAAUGUCAACAAAAAAAAAAAUUUGAAAGAGAAAAUUCAAAAGUGUAAGGAAGGAAAACAAUAAAAGUCAAAAUUGAGAAAAAAAAAUCAAAAUUAGGGUUUUUUUUUUUCUUUUUUAAAUCGUCAUUAUUUGUGGACAUGAAAAAAAAAAAUAAAAACAAAAACCCAGACAAUUUGCAAAGAUAUGUCCCUAUAAAAGCCAUUGCCAUGCACUUCAAUCCAACACAUGACCUUCUUUCCCUCCUCACCGUCUUAGCUUCUUUUAUCUCUUUCUUUUCUCUCACUUUCUUUUCAACCACACAAAUAAAUUUCAGUUGGUUGUCCUCCUUUUAUUUUCUUCUAACAAUAUUUAUUUAUACGUUAGAGUUAGAUAUUUUUCCAAUUAUGCCAAAAAGAAACAAAAAAGAAAUUUUAUAAUUUAUUCUCCGUAUAAUCAAAGAUAAUCUGAGGCGUGGGUUUAAUUCAAUCUGGGAUUUGGUAUUUGAAAAAAAAAAUUCUUGAGGAAUUGUCGAAGCGGAUUUCUCUUAGGAGCUCUUCGUUGAGGUAAAAAUUUCAAACUUUUUAUAGGUUUUACGAUUCUGUUGCCUUAAUUUCCUCGAAAAUCUUACCUGGGAAUAUGUUUUUGACUGUAAGAAUAAAAGAUUUCAUUUUUUAUUUAAUAUCACCAGGUAAUUAACUUUGUAUUUUUUUAAUCGUUUUGCUGUAAAAAAAAUUAGAAAGCUUGCUAGAAUAUUUGGAUACUCAAUAAUGAAAGCAACCCCCAAAAGCAGAUUAUUUCUAUUAAACAUAAUUUAAAUCAUGGAUUUUGUUAAUAUUUCUCAUUCUCUUUCUCUUUGUUUUUUCAUUUAAUGAUAUAUGAUAAAGUUCUAGUUAUGGGGGCUGAUUUCAUUGGGAAAAUGUCAAAUAUUUAGCUAGAAAAGUUUCAAGUGCAGUUGUUUUUGGUUAGAAGGCUCAACCUUCUAACCGUGAGCCUUGGUAGCAUUCUCAGAAGCCAACUAACAAUUAAUUCUUUAGUGAAUAGCAAUUGGUUGAGUAUUAGAACUGCUUUCCAGUGAUGUGCUGGUCUAGUGGUGAAAGUAGUGGUGUUUUAGUGAGUUACAGUCCUCCUUAGGCGGAUGACCAAUGGCCUAGGACAGAGAGAAAAAUCGGAAUCUUAAGAGCCUUGUGAAGAAGGGUUACCUAGUAUUAGUAUUAAAUCAACCAAAUUGACAUCCAAUUGUAAAGUUGUGGUUUACAUAGCGAACUAUCAUGUUCAACUUAAGUCAUGGUUGUAGGGUGUCUGUGAGUGUCUAGUAACAUGUCCUGUCAUUUUGUAAGAGUGCGGCAAAUGAUGUAUACUGUCCAAUUUAUCUUAAAACAUUAACAAAAAUGAAAUCCUGCUCUUAUGUAUAAAUUUAUGGUUGCAAAAACUGUGUUUUACCCGGAGUUUCUUAUCAAGAGAAGGGGGGUGUUUAUUGAAAAGAACUUUGUCAAAUGUUUUGCAUAUUUGAGUAGUGAUUUGUGUCCAAACGUACAAGUUUUUCUUUUUCACUUCCUUUAAUUUAUGACAAAAAAUUUGAUCUGAAUUGUUUGUAACUUUUCUUCUCUCUUUUGAUGUUGUCAGAAUUUGAUGGAUACCAAUAACUGGAGGCCUACUCCUGCCAGUGGAGAGCCCACCAUGGAUGCAGGUGAUUGGAGAACCCAGUUGCAGCCUGAUUCACGACAAAGAAUUGUCAACAAGAUGUAAGUGAAUUUUAUGGUAUUAUUAUUUGUUAAAUAUACUUGUUGUAUUUAAGUUACCGAUAUUCUGUGGCUUGUCUUUCACGGUUUCAAUAUUGUUAAUAACCAAACAAUACCAUCAAUAAAACCAUAUUUCCUAUUCCAGAAUGUUUUCUUUGUUUUGUAAAUACAUAGCUCGAAAAUCAAAGCUUGCUCUUACCCAGAGUUUGGGCACAAUGUAUGGGCCACGUAUCUGGAAGCCUAAUGUGGCUAAGCUAUUGGUGGCAUACUUGGUAUCGUCAUUUAAUGAAUUUAUGUGAUUGAAUGAGGAUAAAAUUUGCUUUUAGAUCUUUUGCUUCUUGUAAGCUUGGGACUUGUGUUCUCAUUUGAGUGCUACAGUAUAUGAAUUGAUGGUUCUCUUUUCUUCUUACUAACUGAAUUAUACCCAUUCAUUAUAUAACUUAUAGCUGUAACGGACACUAGUGGUCUUGCUUUUCUAUAUCAUUUUAUGAACGAUGGUUAUUUUGGUAUGUGGUCUAUUUGAAUGUAGCUGAUAUAUGAAGGUCAUGAUGGCCACUUUGUUUAUUGGGGGGAACUUUGUUAAAUUCCAAUGCCAUGGCUUCUGGAUGUUUAAAUGAGACAGUCCUGAACAAGUUGAAGAUGAAAAUCUUUUGGUGGUCAGAUUAUAUCCUGGUUAAUUUUCAUUUGAUUUUAUGUUAACUUCACAGUUUGGUCAUGGCAUUCUUUUAUUAACCAUGGAAGAUUCUUAUAUAUAUCCUAUUGGUGUGUCAAUAACUUACACAAUGCCUUGUGUACAUAGAAUGGACACAUUGAAGAGGCUCCUUCCAUUUUCUGGCCAAGAGGGUUUAUAUGAACUCAGGAAAAUCGCAGUAAGGUUUGAGGAAAAGAUUUUUACAGCAGCAAACAGCCAGGUAAUCAUAGAAUAUUGGCAUUCCUUAACCUUCUUGGAUGCAUUGUUGUUUGCCUAUAUUUUGUUUGUUUGCGUUGUGUGUAUGUAUCUUUGUGUUUCUUUUUUUUUCUUAUUCAUAUGUAUAGACAUGCAUACACCUAGACUUCUUGUCAAUUACAUUGGAAGUAAAUAAGAAAGAAAUCCAGGUAGGAAAGAGAGCAGAGGUAGGAAAAAACAAAAAUGCUUGAUGCUAACUCAUUAUUAAGCAUGGUUAAUAUAACAUAUUCGAUAAUCUUGUCUUGUAUUUGAAUAAUGAAGUAAAGCUUAUUUACUCUAAUGCCGUAAUGGAUUUCUAUAUUCAGUCGGAUUAUCUGAGGAGAAUAUCCUUGAAGAUUCUUACUAUGGAGAACAAGUCUCAGAAUACUAUGCCCAACUCUGGGAAUAACAGCACGCCCCCUGAUCCAGGUAAUAGCAGGAAACAGCAUUUUGCUUUGAUGUAUGCUACAAGUAGGACAUUUUCCGUUUACAUGUCCUUUCUGUUCUUUAACAUGCAGAGUUGUUUAACUUGCAACAUUUAUGCACAUAUUCUUUCUGCAGCUAUUUGAAUGAAAAAUACCUAUAUUUUAACUCUUUUGUCCCUUAACAAAGCGUGGUUGUUUUGGUGGGUUGGAGUUGUUUAAGGGAUUGAUUUGAUGAGCACCCAAACAGAAAGGCCUAUUUGCUGUUCCCGUGAUUGUAGUCUUUCUGCAUGGGAUGCACCUCUUCAUGUGCUAGCCUAGGAAUAAUUUGAUUAUUUUUUCAUGAUCCUCAUGGUAUGAUUCAAUUGCCCUCACAUGUUUUAAGUCUAGUUAUCUUUUUGAAUGAAUUAAUUACUGCUUCAGUAUUUUUGUUGUUUAUCUUGUUCUAAAUGUUCUUCAAUUCAGUUCUUGUGGGUUCUUCCCAACCUUCCUUUCUGAAUAUAAAAAUCUUGGGUAGGUUCUCAGGGCAUGCAAAACCAAGUUCACGGUCAAGGGCAAUCAAUUCCUAUCCCAUUACAAAGUAAUCCGUCUCAAGCACGUCAACAACUGUUACCCCAGAGUGUUCCAAAUAACAUGUCAUCUGCUGGAGUUCAAAGUUCUACUGGUUUACAAUCUGGGAUGCCUUCUGUGUCUGGUCCAACCCAGAAUGCCAUACCUAAUGUUGUUGGCCAGAAUUUCAACAUUCAAAACUUGUCUGAAAUUUCACAGAACUCACUGGGGCAAGGGAUAUCUUCCAAUAUUUUUACUAAUCAGCAGAGGCAAAUGCAAGGAAGGCAACGGGUGCUACUGCAACAGCAGCAGCAGCAACUAUACCAUCAGCAGUUACAACAGCAACUUAUGAAGCAAAAGAUUCAACAAGGAAAUCUCCAGCCUUCACUUAUGCAGUUUCACAUGCCGCAACAGCAACAGCAAAACCUGUUACCACCUACUCAGUUGCAAUCUUCCCUGCAAUCUGGUAUGCAAACAUCAGCCGUUAUGCAGCCAUCUGCCAUGCAAUCAACUCCUCUUACUGGUCUUCAGAAGAAUCAACAAUCUUCUCUGCAAGAGUCAAUACAGUCCAUGCUUCAGCAGCAUGAACAGCCACAAUCGGCCACCAGUGUUGGUAUUCUUCAACCACAAACAGCAAUGACACGGCAGUCAAUGAUGCCUCAGCAGCAGCAACAGCCUCCACAGCCACAGCAACAGCUGCAGCAGCCAAACAUAAUGGGACAACAGACAAAUGCUGCAAAUAUACAGCAGAAUCAGUUAAUUGGACAACAAAAUAGCAUUGUGGACAUGCAGCAGCAGAGAUUGCUAGGCCAGCCUAAUAAUAUUCCAAACCUGCAGCAGCAGCAGCAGCAUCAGUUAAUGGCUGAACAAAACCUCUCAAAUAUCCAUCAGCAACAGUUGGGUCCUCAAAGUAAUAUUUCAGGAUUACGGCAACAGCAGCAACAGCAAUUGAUUGGAACCCAGUCGGGUAACUCAAGCAUGCAAACUAAUGAGCACAUGCUACCCCAGCCUAAGGUUUCACUUCAACAAACGCAGCAGAGUGCACCUAAUUUGUUACCAACUCAGGGACAGACAUCCCAGCAGCCCCAGCAGCAGCAGCAGCAACAGCAACAGCAACUGAUGUCACAGAUGCAAUUACAGUC
rnacentral:lncRNA from 1 species